rnacentral:rRNA from 1 species
CAAUAGCGUAUAUUAAAGUUGUUGCAGUUAGAACGCUCGUAGUCGGAUUUCGGGGCGGGCCGACCGGUCUGCCGAUGGGUAUGCACUGGUCGGCGCGUCCUUCCUUCCGGAGACCGUCCCUACUCUUAACUGAGCGGGGGCGGGAGACGGGACUUUUACUUUGAAAAAAUCAGAGUGUUUCAAGCAGGCAGCUCGCUCUUGCAUGGAUUAGCAUGGGAUAAUGAAAUAGGACUUUGGUGCUAUUUUGUUGGUUUCGAACACCGAAGUAAUGAUGAGAAGGGACAGUCAGGGGCACUCGUAUUCCGCCGGGAGAGGUGAAAUUCUCAGACCAGCGGAAGACGAACCACUGCGAAAGCAUUUGCCAGGGAUGUUUUCACUGA